rnacentral:rRNA from 1 species
AUUGAACGCUGGCGGCAGGCCUAACACAUGCAAGUCGAGCGGAUGAAGGGAGCUUGCUCCUGGAUUCAGCGGCGGACGGGUGAGUAAUGCCUAGGAAUCUGCCUGGUAGUGGGGGAUAACGUCCGGAAACGGGCGCUAAUACCGCAUACGUCCUGAGGGAGAAAGUGGGGGAUCUUCGGACCUCACGCUAUCAGAUGAGCCUAGGUCGGAUUAGCUAGUUGGUGGGGUAAAGGCCUACCAAGGCGACGAUCCGUAACUGGUCUGAGAGGAUGAUCAGUCACACUGGAACUGAGACACGGUCCAGACUCCUACGGGAGGCAGCAGUGGGGAAUAUUGGACAAUGGGCGAAAGCCUGAUCCAGCCAUGCCGCGUGUGCGAAGAAGGCCUUCGGAUUGUAAAGCACUUUAAGUUGGGAGGAAGGGCAGUAAGUUAAUACCUUGCUGUUUUGACGUUACCAACAGAAUAAGCACCGGCUAACUUCGUG